GGAUGUAUGACUGGACUGUAAUCUUCUAUCCCACAGGUGGACUAAGACAUAUGCCAGAGAGGAAAAAGCCACAAAAGAAUUGCUCCUAUCACACUCGCUUAGAGACUUUCCCCAUCAGGAGUGUUGUAAGAGAAAGAGUGAGAAAGGGCAAAGCAGAAAUGUUGGUUGACUGGGAGCCCUGUCCAGUAUGUGGCAAGGAGUGGGCCCAUUCCUGGCAGCCAAAGGAUUCUCUUCAAAUGAAUAAAAAUAAAUAAAAUGUACAAUUGUAAUCCA